rnacentral:rRNA from 1 species
GGUGCUGCAUGGCUGUCGCCAGCUCGUGUCGUGAGAUGUUGGGUUAAGUCCCGCAACGAGCGCAACCCUCAUCCUUAGUUACCAUCAGGUAAUGCUGGGGACUUUAAGGAAACUGCCAGUGAUAAACUGGAGGAAGGUGGGGAUGAUGUCAAGUCAUCAUGGCCCUUAUGGAGUGGGCUACACACGUGCUACAAUGGUGGCUACAAUGGGCUGCAAAGUCGCGAGGCUAAGCUAAUCCCUUAAAAGCCAUCUCAGUUCGGAUUGUACUCUGCAACUCGAGUGCAUGAAGUUGGAAUCGCUAGUAAUCGUGGAUCAGCACGCCACGGUGAAUACGUUCCCGGGUCUUGUACACAC